AUAUCGCUAGGGGCCCGCUCAAUGGGUCCAGGACUUCACAGUCCUUGGUAUGCCACAAUGCGAUUUCAUGUUACAGUUAUGGUUGCAACCUAUUCGCCAGGGGCCUGCUCAAUGGGUCCAGGACUUUAAAGUCCUUGGUAUGCCACCGCGCGAAUUUCAGUUAUCAGUACAGUGCAGUGCGUAUGUGUUGACCAUUUUAUUAACGUGGACAAUUAUUGCAUGUUUCCCACACUGAGUAUAUUUCAUAUGCUCAUCCCAUAUUUAACAUUUUCAGGUAACUAAGGUUGGAGACGCGUGGAGGAUUGAAUGGGCGCGUCAAGUAUAUAUAUAUUUUGAAAAAUAUGAUGGCGUAGUUACAUCUAGCCUUUUUCUUUGUAUAGUUUCAAAGUCUAAAACUACUUUUGAGAUUUUAAUAUAACUUAUCAGGUUUAAUGUUAUCAUAUUAGCUUCCUAGCAUGGCUGGCCUUCUUUUCAAGUUAUUUCAAGUAUUUUAUUUAAAAAGUUAUUUCUUGAAAAUAAUCCAAAUCUUUAUGUUAUUUCCGCUGUCAAAAAUUAUUUAAAUUUAUAUUUAACACUUUAAUUAGAUUAGGGUGUUACAG
rnacentral:lncRNA from 1 species